rnacentral:rRNA from 1 species
CUCGUAGGCGGUUCAACAAGUCGAUCGUGAAAACCCGGGGCUCAACCCCGGGACGCCGGUCGAAACUGUUGUGACUAGGGUCCGGUAGAGGUGAGUGGAAUUCUCGGUGUAGCGGUGGAAUGCGCAGAUAUCGAGAGGAACACCAGUUGCGAAGGCGGCUCACUGGGCCGGUACCGACGCUAAGGAGCGAAAGCAUGGGGAGCAAACA